GACGAACGCUGGCGGCGUGCUUAACACAUGCAAGUCGAACGGAAAGGCCCCUUCGGGGGUACUCGAGUGGCGAACGGGUGAGUAACACGUGAGUAACCUGCCCUUGACUUCGGGAUAACUUCAGGAAACUGGGGCUAAUACCGGAUAGGAAUCCUUGCUGCAUGGUGGGGGUUGGAAAGCUUCGGCGGUUUUGGAUGGACUCGCGGCUUAUCAGCUUGUUGGUGGGGUAGUGGCUUACCAAGGCUUUGACGGGUAGCCGGCCUGAGAGGGCGACCGGCCACAUUGGGACUGAGAUACGGCCCAGACUCCUACGGGAGGCAGCAGUGGGGAAUAUUGCACAAUGGGCGGGAGCCUGAUGCAGCAACGCCGCGUGCGGGAUGACGGCCUUCGGGUUGUAAACCGCUUUCAGCAGGGGCGAAGCUUGUGGUGACGGUACCUGCAGAAGAAGCACCGGCUAACUACGUG
rnacentral:rRNA from 1 species